rnacentral:rRNA from 1 species
UGGGGAAUUUUGGACAAUGGGCGCAAGCCUGAUCCAGCCAUGCCGCGUGAGUGAAGAAGGCCUUCGGGUUGUAAAGCUCUUUCGGUGGGGAAGAAAUUGCACGGGAUAAUACCCUGUGUAGAUGACGGUACCUGGAGAAGAAGCACCGGCUAACUACGUGCCAGCAGCCGCGGUAAUACGUAGGGUGCGAGCGUUAAUCGGAAUUACUGGGCGUAAAGCGUGCGCAGGCGGUUGGAUAAGUCAGAUGUGAAAUCCCCGGGCUCAACCUGGGAACUGCAUUUGAGACUGCCCAGCUGGAGUUUGGCAGAGGGGGGUGGAAUUCCACGUGUAGCAGUGAAAUGCGUAGAGAUGUGGAGGAACACCGAUGGCGAAGGCAGCCCCCUGGGCCAAUACUGACGCUCAUGCACGAAAGCGUGGGGAGCAAACAGGAUUAGAUACCCUGGUAGUCCACGCCCUAAACGAUGUCAACUAGGUGUUGGGAGGGUUAAACCUUUUAGUGCCGUAGCUAACGCGUGAAGUGACCGCCUG